rnacentral:sRNA from 1 species
UUGACAGCUUUGGAAACUGAAGGACUCUAAUUAUCCACAGAACAGGUACAAUAUGGCCAGUGGCAGUAGAAAUCAUUUCAUACUGCCCUGCCAGUGUGCCUCAGAUAUAUUUCUUAGGAACCUUAUGGGGUAUAAAGGUUUUAAGUCUCCUUUUUAGUCUUUGGUAAGA